rnacentral:tRNA from 1 species
GGGGGCGUAGCCGAGCAAGGCCAAGGCGUCGGGCUCCAGAUCAAAACAGCUGGUCAAGAGGCGACACCCGAAGACCGUGGGUUCAAGUCCCACCGCCCCCA